rnacentral:lncRNA from 13 species
CCACGGCGGCCCGAGCGAGCAAUUGUAAGUGUCGGAGGCGAUCUUCUCUGACGAUGGUAUCUGAGAUAGGAUCGAAAGAGGCAUUUAAAGAGAAAACAUUAGAAAACUUCAAGCGAUUCGAUGGAAGGAAUGUAAUGCUGAUGGACGACAGGAUGUUCAUGACUAUGCAGGAGCCGGGAAGUAUUCGGUGAACACGUGGAGCAUUCAGGACACAUGCUGAAGUGGUCAACAGGAACGUUCAUUCGUCAUAUAUCGAGUUACGACAUUCGCCAGAUGCCUUGCACUCGCGGUGUGGGUGGAAUUCGAGAGAGACCUCGGAAACACGCAGCCGGCGUGGGUUCGGGAGACAGUUUUGGACCAUCCAA